rnacentral:rRNA from 1 species
AGGCUGGGGAUAACAUUUGGAAACAGAUGCUAAUACCGAAUAAAACUUAGUGUCGCAUGACACAAAGUUAAAAGGCGCUUCGGCGUCACCUAGAGAUGGAUCCGCGGUGCACUAGUUAGUUGGUGGGGUAAAGGCCUACCAAGACAAUGAUGCAUAGCCGAGUUGAGAGACUGAUCGGCCACAUUGGGACUGAGACACGGCCCAAACUCCUACGGGAGGCUGCAGUAGGGAAUCUUCCACAAUGGGCGAAAGCCUGAUGGAGCAACGCCGCGUGUGUGAUGAAGGCUUUCGGGUCGUAAAGCACUGUUGUAUGGGAAGAACAGCUAGAAUAGGAAAUGAUUUUAGUUUGACGGUACCAUACCAGAAAGGGACGGCUAAAUACGUGCCAGCAGCCGCGGUAAUACGUAUGUCCCGAGCGUUAUCCGGAUUUAUUGGGCGUAAAGCGAGCGCAGACGGUUUAUUAAGUCUGAUGUGAAAGCCCGGAGCUCAACUCCGGAAUGGCAUUGGAAACUGGUUAACUUGAGUGCAGUAGAGGUAAGUGGAACUCCAUGUGUAGCGGUGGAAUGCGUAGAUAUAUGGAAGAACACCAGUGGCGAAGGCGGCUUACUGGACUGCAACUGACGUUGA